rnacentral:lncRNA from 1 species
CUUGCUGCUCUGUGGUGGUGCUUUGCAUUUUAAGAUUCCAUGGGUGGAUUCUGGAGAACCUCAAGAGCUCUAAAGGGCAGACAUGGCAGCUGGUGUGUCCACAUUGAAUCAAUCUUCUGCUGCUGAUUUCCACUAUUAAUUUGGAUCUUCUGAUUGGCUUAUUGAGAAUGGGUGGUCAAAUCUGGCUUGGGACAUGGGCUGCAACCCCCAGCUUUGAUACUAAUAAGACUGUACAUGAAGAGAGACAGAAUGUGGCUUAGCAGACUCACAGGACACUGAUCAAUUUAAAGUUUAAUAUUAAACAUCAUCAUUAUUUAAUUCAUGACUAGAAUACUACAUCAAUAACCCCAUGUUAUUUCUGGAGUCAUACAAUCUCAACUUGCCACCUGUGGUGAUUUGAAUAUGCUUGGCCCAUGGGAAGCAGCACUAUGAGGAAAUAUGGCCUUGUUGGCAUAAGUGUGGCCUAGUUGGAGGAAGUUCAACACCGUAGGGAUGGGCUUUGAGGUCCUAUGCUCAAGUUCUGCCCAGUGCAGAAGAGAAAACCUCCUCUUGGCUGCCAGCAGAAGUCAGUCUUCUCCUGGCCAUCUUCAGAUUAAGAUGUAGAACUCUCCACUGCUUCUCCAGCACCAUAUCUCCCUGCAUGGUGCCACACUUCCUGCUACAACAAUAAUGGACUAAACUUCGGAAACUGUAAGCCAGCUCCGAUUCAUAUAGAUGUGAGGAGCCUAGCCACAUGUUCUCACCACUGUGAAGACACAGGCCUUUUCCUGCAUGACGCACUGUAUCUCCUUAAACUGUAACCCAUAAUAAAUCCUACCUCCC